ACCAGGAUGGCCUAGUGGUUAAGGCGUUGGGCUUAAGUUCUAAUGGAUGUAUAUCUAUGUUGGUUCGAACCCCACUCCUAUUA
rfam:Xenopus laevis strain J chromosome 2S, whole genome shotgun sequence.